ensembl:lncRNA
GUGGUUAUUUUUUUUUUAAGCUUAUUUAUUCUGAGACACAGAUAGCAGGGGAGGGGCGGAGAGAGAGAGGGAGAGAGAGAAUCCAAACAGGCUCUGCACUGUCCCUGCAAAGCCUGAUGCGGGGCUCGAAUCCAGGAACCAUGAGAUCAUGACCUGAGCUGAAAUCAAGAGUCGGACGCUUAGCAGACUGAGCCCAGGCGCCCCAAAGCUCUUGUUACUUUACAAACGAGUCUGGGUCAUAAUUACAGAACCAUUUCUCCCGUGGCCGUCAGCGGCUGUCCCCGGCUGGGAGUGAGCCGCCCCGGGCAGCCCGGGCGCCGGUUCCCUGAAGCCGCCAUCCGCCGCGCUCGUGCGCAGGAAGCCGGCCUGCCGUGUGGGCACACGCUCUGCACGCCAGGCCUUGCCCCUGGCCUUCAGCCUGGGUCGCGGCGAGGCCUCUUGGGGCUGGAGAGAAGGGGUCCUGCAUGGACACUGCUCAGACUGGAAACAGGAUAGGGCCGAUGGCAACGGUGGGCGGAGGGCCGGGUCCUCAUCACUGAGAAGCAAGUGGGUGGAAAUGAACGCUGUUUCCAGCGCCUUAUGUCACCGCAUUUCCCUGCACCUGCUCAUUUAGUUCGCGUUCCUCCCCGCCAGGUGAGCGCGGGCGGGGCGGCUGCAGCUCGCCACUGCCCCCUGGUGUCAGAAGGCCAUACGGCAGAGAAAGGAGCUGAAAGAGAUCAGAAUCCCCCCAGAAGAUGGAGGGUGUGGGAUCAGGGGAUCCUGCCGGAGGGAGCCAGGACCCAGCUCGGCCCAGAAACACGGGGCAACAUGUCACAGGUUUUGGAAGACCCCGCGGCACCACCUGCGAGCACCAGGGGGCGCAGGAGUUCGGCUGGAAGCAGGUGGCCUGAGUCCGCAUCUGCAGGCUCUUCCAUCAGCCUGAAAAAAAGUCACUUGUCUACACACCCCCCCACCACAGGACUCUGGUUUGGUUUCCAAAUACAUUUAUGGGCUGUGUUUUCUGAUUGCAACGCGAUAGUAUCUGGAUAGUGAAGACAGUCUGGAAAUGAUUUCCAAGGACGGUCAUCCCCCAUCCCGCUGUCACCCAGGGCGAGGAGUGUGUGUGCCCGCUCUCCGGGUGCCAAAAUGUACACACGCAGCUCCGGGUCGCAGCCUGUGAGUCUGGAGUUGUCUCUUGCCCAGCAAGAGGCGGAUGCAGAAAUGAAAACGAGAGAGGGUAGUGGCCGGGAGGGGACAAGAGCCCCACACAGGCUCCGUGUUUGUCAUACACACCGGGUGACAGUGCAGAAGACAAUCAGUCGGUAUUGUUAACAUGUGUGUAAGAAGUGAAGCGUCUGGGGGGCGAGUGGCGUUGUGAUCAAAGUACAUUGGCACCAGACGGAAGGAGUUUCCUGCAGGGGACACAAGUCACCAGUGGUCCCGUUGUAAUUUCUCACUGAUGGACCUCGGGCGCCUUUGCCCCGUGGCCACAGCUUUCUGCCCUAAGCCUUUUGUACCCCGUUAAUGAAAGUGUAAGGAAUUCGUGAACCUGCUCCCCCACAGCUCUGGGUCGUGCUUACGUUUAGAAUCUCUCAGAAAUCCUUUGUUUCUUCUAUAUUUUUGUUUGCAUUAGGGAAAUAGUCUUACUGGCUGUCUAAAGAUCUGCUCUGGCUUUCUGACUUUUUGGAGAAUAAGGAAAAGGCGCCCGAGUGGCUCAGUCGGUUGCGCGUCCAACUUUGGCUCAGGGCAUGAUCUCAGGGCUUGGGAGUUCGAGCCCCGCGUCCGGCCCACUGUUGUCUGUGCAGAGCCCACUUUGGAUCCUCUGUUCCCCCGUCUCUGCCCCUCCGCCACUCUCUCUCUCAAAAAUAAAAUAUUAACAAUUAAAAAAAAAAGGAAAAGAAAAAAUACAUGGGUAAGACCACCUCUACUACAACUGAACGAUAAGCAUGAGUCUAAUAAACUAACAUCUGCCCUACAAAGACUAUGUUUAAAAAAUCUUGACUCCAAGGGAAAGAUGGUCUUAAAGCUAAAGAGGAAAGUUACAGGUUUCACUGUCUCUGUGGAUUCGAUUCCAAGACGAGGCCCCUUUCUGUUAACACUGGCGGGUGGGAAAACACAAGGGACGUCACUUCCCGUCUGCCCCCCCCCCCAAGUCUCCAGCCUCCUCCCCACAGAGGGCCUCCCACGUCCCCACCUCGCACGCCCUCCUCGGCAGUCGGGGACGUUAGCUGUCCCGGGGCGGUGGCACGAGCCAGUCCAGAGGCCCACUGGUAAGUGAUGGGGUCCCGGGGGGCUGGUGCGGGGCACGGCUGUCCGGGGGCAGCAAAGCCACUCUCUGGGGCAGGAGGUGGAGGGGUCAGGGGUGGAGGGGUGACGAGCCCUGAGCGGCCUGGCCGAGGCCACCCGUUCCUUCCCCGGCCGGCUGGGAGCUGUCCCAUCUCCGGCCCGGCGCAGGGGAGUCCGGGCGGUGGAUGCUGUGGGGAGAACCAGGGACCCAGGGCUGGCCUGUGAUGACCCCACGGCCAAGUGCAGAGGCCCCCCCGGGGCACACUCCAGCCCCAGCCGGGACACGUCCAGCAUCACAUGCCCCUCUGGGCAGGGUGGCGGGCAGCACGGAUUCCACGCGGGGUCAUGGGGCAUCUCCACCACGAAGGGCACCUGCCUGCACAGUCGGUGCGGGGCCACCGCAGGCUUCGGGACCACCCACGGAGUGAAGGACGGCAAAGCCCUGAAUGACAGACCGAGACAUGGCACGAAGGACAGUGAGGGGUGUGAUGACCAGGACGGCAGAGCGGAAGGAGUGAAGUCACCGCAGAAGCCUGGAGGAAGAGCAGGCGUCCCCCGGGAAAAGGAGGGACGCCCAGUGUCCUUGUCCUCCGGGGGACAAUGCUGAGCCGUGCCCUG